UUUAAUUUUUGACUUUUCGUCUUAUUCAAAAAAAAUUUGCGAUUGAUAUUUUUGUUUUUAUUAGAUAAUAAAUUAUAAAUAGUACUUUACGUGUGACUAAUUUUUUUCUAAUUUUUUAAAUUUUUUUAAAUAAGACGGAUGGUCAAACGUUGAACACGAAAA
rnacentral:pre_miRNA from 1 species